GAUGAACGCUGGCUACAGGCUUAACACAUGCAAGUCGAGGGGAAACGACGGGGAAGCUUGCUUCCCCGGGCGUCGACCGGCGCACGGGUGAGUAACGCGUAUCCAACCUGCCUCUGACUGAGGGAUAACCCGUCGAAAGUCGGCCUAAUACCUCAUGGCAUCGUCUGCGGGCAUCCAACGACGAUUAAAGAUUUCAUCGGUCAGGGAUGGGGAUGCGUCUGAUUAGCUUGUUGGCGGGGUAACGGCCCACCAAGGCUACGAUCAGUAGGGGUUCUGAGAGGAAGGUCCCCCACAUUGGAACUGAGACACGGUCCAAACUCCUACGGGAGGCAGCAGUGAGGAAUAUUGGUCAAUGGGCGAGAGCCUGAACCAGCCAAGUAGCGUGCAGGAAGACGGCCCUAUGGGUUGUAAACUGCUUUUAUGCGGGGAUAAAGUGAGGGACGUGUCCUUCAUUGCAGGUACCGCAUGAAUAAGGACCGGCUAAUUCCGUGCCAGCAGCCGCGGUAAUACGGAAGGUCCGGGCGUUAUCCGGAUUUAUUGGGUUUAAAGGGAGCGUAGGCCGUGGAUUAAGCGUGUUGUGAAAUGCAGGUGCUCAACGUCUGCACUGCAGCGCGAACUGGUCCACUAGAGUGUGCGCAACGCAGGCGGAAUUCGUCGUGUAGCGGUGAAAUGCUUAGAUAUGACGAAGAACUCCGAUUGCGAAGGCAGCUUGCGGGAGCACAACUGACGCUGAAGCUCGAAAGUGCGGGUAUCGAACAGG
rnacentral:rRNA from 1 species